AUUGAACGCUGGCGGAAUGCUUUACACAUGCAAGUCGAACGGUAGAGGGGGCAACCCCUUGAGAGUGGCGAACGGGUGAGUAAUAUAUCGGAACGUGCCCAGUCGUGGGGGAUAACGUAGCGAAAGUUACGCUAAUACCGCAUACGAUCUAAGGAUGAAAGCGGGGGACUCGCAAGAGCCUCGCGCGAUUGGAGCGGCCGAUAUCAGAUUAGGUAGUUGGUGGGGUAAAGGCUCACCAAGCCAACGAUCUGUAGCUGGUCUGAGAGGACGACCAGCCACACUGGAACUGAGACACGGUCCAGACUCCUACGGGAGGCAGCAGUGGGGAAUUUUGGACAAUGGGGGGGAACCCUGAUCCAGCCAUGCCGCGUGUGUGAAGAAGGCCUUUUGGUUGUAAAGCACUUUAAGCGAGGAGGAGGCUACCGAGAUUAAUACUCUAGGAUAGUGGACGUUACUCGCAGAAUAAGCACCGGCUAACUCUGUGCCAGCAG
rnacentral:rRNA from 1 species